rnacentral:rRNA from 1 species
AACGGGGGAUGCAAGCGAUAUCCGGAAUCACUGGGCGUAAAGCGUCUGUAGGUGGUGAUGCAAGUCACUGGUGCAAAACUCUGGCUCAACCGGAGGAAAGCCAGUGAAACUGCAUGACUAGAGUGUGGGAGAGGUAGAAGGAAUUCCCUGAGUAGCGGUGAAAUGCGUAGAGACAGGGAAGAACACCGGAGGCGAAAGCGUUCUACUGGAACACAACUGACAAUGAGAGACGAAAGAUAGGGGCGCGAAUGGG